rnacentral:rRNA from 1 species
GAUGAACGCUGGCGGCGUGCCUAAUACAUGCAAGUCGAGCGAACAGACGAGGAGCUUGCUCCUCUGACGUUAGCGGCGGACGGGUGAGUAACACGUGGAUAACCUACCUAUAAGACUGGGAUAACUUCGGGGAACCGGAGCUAAUACCGGAUAAUAUAUUGAACUGCAUGGUUCAAUAGUGAAAGACGGUUUUGCUGUCACUUAUAGAUGGAUCCGCGCCGCAUUAGCUAGUUGGUAAGGUAACGGCUUACCAAGGCAACGAUGCGUAGCCGACCUGAGAGGGUGAUCGGCCACACUGGAACUGAGACACGGUCCAGACUCCUACGGGAGGCAGCAGUAGGGAAUCUUCCGCAAUGGGCGAAAGCUUGACGGAGCAACGCCGCGUGAGUGAUGAAGGUCUUCGGAUCGUAAAACUCUGUUAUUAGGGAAGAACAAAUGUGUAAGUAACUAUGCACGUCUUGACGGUACCUAAUCAGAAAGCCACGGCUAACUACGUG